UUCAAGUGAGUGGGAAAGGAAUCCUGUUGUUUUGUGAGCAAGUGGUCUGAAAACUGCAGGAAAGAAAGAGGCGCCCCAGGCGAGAACUUGCUGAACUGCAGACAAACAGGAAAUGGCGCUUCUGAUUCCCUGCUUUUGAUGGAUCAUCUUAUGUGCAAAUCUCACGUGUAGCAUACAUCUGAAUUGGCCAUAAGAGCUCAGUUUAAAAAUGGUGGUCAACUGUAUUUGCAAAAAUGGACCAAAUGAUCUCACAACUGAGAAUGAAAAAAGAAGAGACUGUUUAGGAAACAUGGGUGGCGUAUCUAAAAAGGAAGGCUCCCCUUUCAAGAGAUAAUGAUGAUGAUCGAAACCACACCGACUGUACAGAGGGAAGCUGUCAGGAAGAAACCUCCCCUUCUUCGCCAGAUCUCCAUGCAAGCGCUCACGAAGGACAGGGCUGUCUGAGCAAUCGUACAUCCCGUAGAUAUGUUUUGCCACAUAAAUCUGAUUAGGGCGCUCUUGGAGAGAGACAGAUGGCAGUUUCGACGUUAGGUGAAGAUGGCUUAAUCUCCAUCUGCGCUGACAUUUCCUGAUGCCUCCCUGCUCAUCUCCAAGCACCCUGCUCAUCUCAAACGUAAUUUUUCUCUCACUGAUGCCAGUCCAAGGUUCUGAUGUUUGGGGGCAGAUUUUGUAAGGAGAUAUUGGGUUGUAUCGAAUGGUGGCUUUGCACUAGCAAAAAGCAUUUAUGCUCAAGCAAGGCAGAGCAUCAAUUUUUUUCCUGAUCCCCCCACCUUUGCACAACAUCUCACACUGUUCCAGAUGGUCCCACCUAACCUUCUAAGCAGUUUUUCAGGGACAUGGGGGAAAGCAGUGGAUAGGGGGGUAGGCAAAAACAGGAUAUCCAGUCUUGUGAAAGUAUGAAUCCUUUCUUCUAAUGCAAAGCCGCUUACUGUAUAUAUUUAGCUAAUUACAGUAUAUUGGAAGCUGGUGGGUUUUGGGACUGUGCUAAGAAGGGCAAUAACUCGUACCCCUUGCUUCGAAAAACUGCUUUUAAUUCCACUCCUUUGUUUUAGGAGAUGGGGCUAUUUAACACCUGUACUGAGCUCAGCUUACCUAUGAAAUAGCUUUCUUAGCCAUUUAGUUUAAAAUGAAAAUUAGGGAAGUUUCAGAACGAAUGGAGGAAAGAAGAAGUACCCUGAAUUAAAUUUUUAAUUCUAGACAAUUUUCGUUAGAGAAAAUCAGGGUUGGAUCUAUCAUCAGGUAGGAUGAGGCAGCCUGCAUCAGCCUGUAGAUUUGGGAGUACCAGUAAAAGGCAGGAAAUUGUCACAGGGAGUUUGUUACCUUUUUUUUAAGCACCCCUGAGGAUGGUUUCACCAAAAUGUUUCUCAUAAAAGGAUGGGUCUAUUAUAUCUAUGAAUUUCUGUUAAAUCACUUAUUAACUUCAGCAGAUUAGGGAGUUCUUGACCAACGUAUAUUGUAACUUGGUUGACAGUCUAAUCCUAUCUGCGUGCGUCAGCCAAGUAAGUGUGUUUAGAACUGCAAUCUGACUCUCUUAUCAGUUAUCAUCAGAAUCUUGUGCAUCCAGUGAUAGAGGAUCUUGACUUGGUAAUCCCAUCAGAUGAGUGCAAGAAAAUCUUCCUAAAUAUGGUGCCUCCAGAUGAUUUCGACUAAAAUUCCCAUCAGCCCCACAUAGCCUGGCCAACAGGAGAGAUCACAAGAGAUGUGGUCCAAAAUUCCUGGUGGAUAACAGGUUGUGGAAGGUUGGCAUAUAGUAUGUGAAUUGGGGCACUUUUCAUGGGAAUAGUUUCCUAGUCUCUAUUUACUUUGUGAUUUGGACUUUUUAUUUGUGUA